AACGUAGGAGCCAAGCGUUAUCCGAAUUCACUGGGCGUAAAGCGCGUGCAGGCGGCUGGGUAAGUUGGAUGUGAAAUCUCCUGGCUCAACUGGGAGAGGCCGUUCAAUACUACCUGGCUUGAGGGCGACAGAGGGAGGUGGAAUUCCGGGUGUAGUGGUGAAAUGCGUAGAUAUCCGGAGGAACACCAGAGGCGAAGGCGGCAUCCUGGACCGGCAUUGACGCUGAGGAGCGAAAGCCAGGGGAGCAAACGGG
rnacentral:rRNA from 1 species